UACGUAGGGUGCAAGCGUUGUCCGGAAUUAUUGGGCGUAAAGAGCUCGUAGGCGGUCUGUCACGUCGGCUGUGAAAACCCGGGGGCUCAACCCCGGGCCUGCAGUGGGUACGGGCAGACUAGAGUGCGGUAGGGGAGAUUGGAAUUCCUGGUGUAGCGGUGAAAUGCGCAGAUAUCAGGAGGAACACCGGUGGCGAAGGCGGUUCUCUGGGCAUGUCCUGACGCUGAGGAGCGAAAGCAUGGGGAGCGAACAGG
rnacentral:rRNA from 1 species